UACGAAGGGGGCUAGCGUUGCUCGGAAUCACUGGGCGUAAAGCGCACGUAGGCGGCUUUUUAAGUCAGAGGUGAAAUCCUGGAGCUCAACUCCAGAACUGCCUUUGAUACUGGAGAGCUUGAGUCCGGGAGAGGUGAGUGGAACUGCGAGUGUAGAGGUGAAAUUCGUAGAUAUUCGCAAGAACACCAGUGGCGAAGGCGGCUCACUGGCCCGGUACUGACGCUGACGGUGCGAAAGCGUGGGGAGCAAACAGGG
rnacentral:rRNA from 1 species